GGAAGUAAAAGUCGUAACAAGGUCUCCGUUGGUGAACCAGCGGAGGGAUCAUUACCGAGUUUACAACUCCCAAACCCAAUGUGAACGUUACCAAACUGUUGCCUCGGCGGGAUCUCUGCCCCGGGUGCGUCGCAGCCCCGGACCAAGGCGCCCGCCGGAGGACCAACCUAAAACUCUUAUUGUAUACCCCCUCGCGGGUUUUUUUAUAAUCUGAGCCUUCUCGGCGCCUCUCGUAGGCGUUUCGAAAAUGAAUCAAAACUUUCAACAACGGAUCUCUUGGUUCUGGCAUCGAUGAAGAACGCAGCGAAAUGCGAUAAGUAAUGUGAAUUGCAGAAUUCAGUGAAUCAUCGAAUCUUUGAACGCACAUUGCGCCCGCCAGUAUUCUGGCGGGCAUGCCUGUCCGAGCGUCAUUUCAACCCUCGAACCCCUCCGGGGGGUCGGCGUUGGGGAUCGGCCCUCCCUUAGCGGGGUGGCCGUCUCCGAAAUACAGUGGCGGUCUCGCCGCAGCCUCUCCUGCGCAGUAGUUUGCACACUCGCAUCGGGAGCGCGGCGCGUCCACAGCCGUUAAACACCCAACUUCUGAAAUGUUGACCUCGGAUCAGGUAGGAAUACCCGCUGAACUUAAGCAUAUCAAUAAGCGGAGGA
rnacentral:rRNA from 2 species